rnacentral:rRNA from 1 species
UACGGAGGAUGCGAGCGUUAUCCGGAUUUAUUGGGUUUAAAGGGUGCGUAGGCGGAUCGUUAAGUCAGUGGUCAAAUUGAGGGGCUCAACCCCUUCCCGCCAUUGAAACUGGCGCUCUUGAGUGGAAGAGAAGUAUGCGGAAUGCGUGGUGUAGCGGUGAAAUGCAUAGAUAUCACGCAGAACCCCGAUUGCGAAGGCAGCAUGCAGGCUUCCGACUGACGCUGAAGCACGAAAGCGUGGGGAUCGAACAGG